GACAGAGGGUGCAAACGUUGCUCGGAAUCACUGGGCGUAAAGGGCGUGUAGGCGGGAAGGAUAGUCAGGUGUGAAAGCCCUGGGCUCAACCCAGGAACUGCAUUUGAAACUCCCUUUCUUGAGUGUCGGAGAGGAAAGCGGAAUUCCUGGUGUAGAGGUGAAAUUCGUAGAUAUCAGGAGGAACACCGGUGGCGAAGGCGGCUUUCUGGACGACAACUGACGCUGAGACGCGAAAGCGUGGGGAGCAAACAGG
rnacentral:rRNA from 1 species